rnacentral:rRNA from 1 species
UACGUAGGGGGCGAGCGUUGUCCGGAAUCAUUGGGCGUAAAGCGCACGUAGGCGGCCCAGCAAGUCGGGUGUGAAAGCCCUCGGCUUAACCGAGGAAGUGCAUUCGAAACUACUGAGCUUGAAUACUGGAGAGGAUCGCGGAAUUCCCGGUGUAGAGGUGAAAUUCGUAGAUAUCGGGAGGAACACCAGUGGCGAAGGCGGCGAUCUGGACAGAUAUUGACGCUGAGGUGCGAAAGCGUGGGGAGCAAACAGG